AGUGAACGCUGGCGGUAGGCCUAACACAUGCAAGUCGAACGGCAGCACAGUAAGAGCUUGCUCUUACGGGUGGCGAGUGGCGGACGGGUGAGGAAUACAUCGGAAUCUACUUUUUCGUGGGGGAUAACGUAGGGAAACUUACGCUAAUACCGCGUACGACCUACGGGUGAAAGCAGGGGAUCUUCGGACCUUGCGCGAUUGAAUGAGCCGAUGUCGGAUUAGCUAGUUGGCGGGGUAAAGGCCCACCAAGGCGACGAUCCGUAGCUGGUCUGAGAGGAUGAUCAGCCACACUGGAACUGAGACACGGUCCAGACUCCUACGGGAGGCAGCAGUGGGGAAUAUUGGACAAUGGGCGCAAGCCUGAUCCAGCCAUACCGCGUGGGUGAAGAAGGCCUUCGGGUUGUAAAGCCCUUUUGUUGGGAAAGAAAAGCGGCAGGUUAAUACCCCGCUGUUCUGACGGUACCCAAAGAAUAAGCACCGGCUAACUUCGUG
rnacentral:rRNA from 1 species